GAAUGUUACUGCUAUUUUAUAAUUUGUCUAGCAGGUUUUCUGGUCUUCACCAGAAAAACCCCU
rnacentral:snRNA from 1 species